AUUGAACGCUGGCGGCAUGCCUUACACAUGCAAGUCGAACGGCAGCACGGGGGCAACCCUGGUGGCGAGUGGCGGACGGGUGAGUAAUGCAUCGGAACGUGCCCUGAAGUGGGGGAUAACGCAGCGAAAGCUACGCUAAUACCGCAUAUUCUGUGAGCAGGAAAGCAGGGGAUCGCAAGACCUUGCGCUUUGGGAGCGGCCGAUGUCGGAUUAGCUAGUUGGUGGGUAAAGGCCUACCAAGGCGACGAUCCGUAGCGGGUCUGAGAGGAUGAUCGCCACACUGGGACUGAGACACGGCCCAGACUCCUACGGGAGGCAGCAGUGGGGAAUUUUGGACAAUGGGCGAAAGGCCUAGAUCCAGCCAUGCCGCGUGAGUGAAGAAGGCCU
rnacentral:rRNA from 1 species